AGGAGGUUCUGAGGAGAUUUGUAGCCAGGGAAGAAGUACCACACUGUUGCAGCCGAGGCUCUAGGAAGUUCCAAUGUCACUGUCAAACCAUGUUCAGAACGGAGAAAGCAGAGACAGGCGGGAGUGGGAAGGAUGGGGCGACGUCAGCAGAGGAGCAGAUAUGGAAGAGCCAGCAGCAGGACUUCAGAGAGAAGCAGUAUUUGGGGAAGAAGUCAGCCAUGUCCUCUGCCACCAAAAGGAGGACUGAGCCAAGGCUGAGAACAGACCCCUGGAUUUGGCGGCUUGCACUUUGCCUGGAAGCUCUACAGGAGUCUCUUCCACAGCUCAGGAGGCUGUCCAUCCCAAAAGGCUUUACAGGUUGAUCGACCCUUCUUACAAAAUGCUUUGACUUCCAAGUGCUCAUGUACUUAUUGUGUUCUAAGUUCAGAAUACAAUUGCUUGUGGUUUGUAUGGUCCUCUC